rnacentral:rRNA from 1 species
UACGGGGGGGGCAAGCGUUUUUCGGAAUUACUGGGCGUAAAGCGUGCGCAGGCGGUUCGUUCAGUCAGAUGUGAAAGCCCCGGGCUCAACCUGGGAACUGCAUUUGAAACUGGCGGGCUUGAGUAUGGCAGAGGGGGGUGGAAUUCCGCGUGUAGCAGUGAAAUGCGUAGAGAUGCGGAGGAACACCGAUGGCGAAGGCAGCCCCCUGGGCCAAUACUGACGCUCAGGCACGAAAGCGUGGGGAGCAAACAGG